rnacentral:lncRNA from 1 species
CUUGAUUUAUCGUCCAGGCUGGAAUGCAAUGGCGCGAUCUCGGCUCACUGCAACAUCCGCCUCCUGGGUUCCAGCAGUUCUCCCAGCUCAGCCUCCGGAGUAGCUGGGAUUACAGGCAUGCACCACCAUGCCUGACUAAUAUUUGUAUUUUUUAGCAGAGGCACGGUUUCCUCAGGUUGGCCAGGUUGUUCUCAAACUCUUGACCUCAGGUGAUCCACCCAUCUUAGCCUCCCAAAGUGCUGGGAUUACAGGCGUGAGCCACCGUGCCCGGCCACACAUCCAUGGUCCAUGUUUCUUUCUUUCUUUUUUUGUUUGAGACGAAGUUUCGCUCUUGUUACCCAGGCUGGAGCACAAUGGCGCGAUCUUGGCUCACUGCAAACUCCACCUCCCAGGUUCAAGAGAUUCCCCUGCCUCAGCCUCCCGAGUAGCUGGAAUUACAGGCACCCGCCACCACGCCCGGCUAAUUUUUGUAUAUUGAGUAGAGAUGGUCAACCAUGUUGACCAGGCUGGUCUUGAACUUCUGACCUCAGGUGAUCCGCCCUCCUUGGCCUCCCAAAGUGCUGGGAUUACAGGCGUGAGCCACAGCACCCGGCCCCCUACCGCAUGUCCAUGUUUCUAAACGCAGUUCUCUUUCCAGGACACCCUCCCAAUGGACAACUCAGCAAUGUUUUUCUUCUUCUAUUGUUUUGUUUCUGGGCUUAGAAAGCCUGUCACUGUCAUCCUGUGUCUCUGAGGACCACCAUGGCAGGUCCCUCGAGACUCUGUGGGUGGGUCUACUCUCCCUGGAGGCCCAGCUGCCAGGGAAGCUCCCUAGAGGAGCACGCCACCCUCUGCUUGUUGCCUGAGAGGCGUCUCCUGGGGGCCUGCGAUCAGAAGACAUUCGCCUCCUCCACUUGGAUCCUUCUCUCCCCACUAGACAGGGGUCCUGUUUCAUUCCCCUUGGAGUUCCUGGGAUCUGGCACAUACUAGGUUCUUUGUAAAUGUUUGUGGCCUGAGUAAACACCCUGUUUCACUGUCAAGAAUCAUUUCAAUGGUCUCAAACCAGUUUGCUCGCCGAUUGAAUGGAUUAAACCAACAGAGCCACUAUUUUAAGCCUCCUACUGUGUGCCUGCAUCUGAUGUAUGUCAUCCAAGCGGGUCUGUUACAGGAAAGGAGUCCAGAUCCAGACCCCAAGAGAGGGUUCUUAGAUCUUCUGCAAGAAAGAAUUCAAGGUGAGUCCAUAAAGGGAAAGCAAGUUUAUUAAGAAAGUAAAGGAAUCAAAGAAUUUUUGUAUUUUUAGUAGAGAUGGGGUUUCACCAUGUUGGCCAGGCUGGUCUUGAACUCCUGACCUCAGGUGAUCCACCUGCCUCGGCCUCCCGAAGUGCUAGGAUUACAGGCAUGAGCCACCGUGCCUGGCCUUAUUUCUUGAUUAUUGCUAAACAAGGGGUGGAUUAUUCAUGUCUCCCCUUUUUAGACCAUAUAGGGUAACUUCCAGACGUUACCAAGGCAUUUGUAAACUGUCUUGGAGCUGGUGAGAGUGUGGCAGUGAGGACGACCAGAGGUCACUGUCAUCAUCAUCUUGGUUUGGGUGGGUUUUAGCUGUCUUCUUUAUUGCAGCCUGUUUUAUCAGCAAGGUCUUUAUGACCUGUAUUCUGUGCUGAUCUUUUAUCUCAUCCUGUGACCUAGAAUACCUAACCAUCAGGGAACGCAGCCCAGUAAGUCUCAGCCUCAUUUUACCCAGCUCCUAUUCAAGAUGGAGUUGCUCUGGUUCAAAUGCCUCUGACAAGUCUAUUACUGUGGCCAUUUUACAAACAAGGUGACUGAGGCUCAGAAAGGUGGCAUUGUUCACUCAUACCCACAGAGCUAAGACAGAGCGGAAGUGGGAUUCAAACCCAGGUCUGCAGGAUUUGGAGGUUUCCUCCAAACCCAUCCUCUUUCCAGAACACCUACUCCCUUCAAAUCAAUCUUCCAUUUGGGGGCUAUGAACACAUAUCCUUAGUCCAGAUCUUUCAGAGACUAAAUAAAAAACGUUCCAUCUUGAUUCCUUUUUUUUUUUUAACUUCAAGACAGGGUCUCACUAUGUUGCGCAGGCUGGUCUUGAACUCUUGGACUGAAAGGAUCCUACCGCCUUGGCCUCUGGAGUAGCUGGGACUACAGACGUGCACAAUGCCCCCGCCCCGCCAGCCCGACAUCAAGCAUUCUUGAUGGUGGGUUUCUCAGAACCUCUCCAGCCUGCUUCACCAAGGUUCUCAGGAAACCAGGGGAAUGGUGACCUGCUACCAGAAAUCUCGUCACUGCUUUUGCAGAAUUAACAUCAUCCAUCAGCGCCACUGCCCUGGAGGGGCUGGGAGUGUAGGGAGACAGGCAGCUUCAGCCUGCAGGGUUACACCCUGGAGACAUCCACAAGAGACUCAAUUUACUUCUGGACAGAAACCAGCAGGAUCUCCUUGUGCCAUGGCCCCCAGGCACCGUUUCCCUUGACGUCUCCUUGGU